AGGUCGUUUAGCUCAGCUGGGAGAGCACCUCCCUUUGGUCGCUGGUUCGAAUCCAGCACGACCCACCA
rnacentral:tRNA from 2 species